rnacentral:misc_RNA from 1 species
AAUACCUCAACUGCUUUGACUUUGUCGAAGUGAAGUUGGACUUUGGAGGACAAGUGCUGGCGCAAGCGUUGCUUGCUUGUUGGCUCCUCUUGAAUGCAUUCAACUUUCCUGAGCAGGGAGCCGACCGAUGUGAUAAGUAUCUGCAUCGGGACGCUUUUGCCUUUGAAAAGAGAGUUGUUACGACGUCCUUAUAUCGACUC